UGACAUGAUGAUCAUCUCUUGGAAUCUCGUUCGGCUGAAUGUUUCUGUUGAGAAUUAAUUACUGAAGUCA